rnacentral:misc_RNA from 1 species
AAGUCGUAACAAGGUUUCCGUAGGUGAACCUGCGGAAGGAUCAUUGUUGAUGCCUAUCAAAACAAGACAGACCAAAGCGAACUUGUGAACCCUCGUUAUUGGCCCGCACGUCGGGGCGGCGCCCAGCACGUGUCGGGCAACAACGAACCAAAUCUCGGCGCAGCACGCGCCAAGGAACUUAGAAAGCUUUGAUUGCGGCAUCCUCUUCCCUAUCGGGCUGGAGGGACGCAUCGAACACUUACAAGUCAAUACGACUCUCGGCAACGGAUAUCUCGGCUCUC